rnacentral:tRNA from 1 species
UGUGGCUCAAUUGGUAGAGUGCCUGCCUACCAUACAUGAAGUCCUGGGUUCCAGCCCCAGCA